AGCGCCCUCUGACCCUGGGGCCGGGCAUGAGGCGGGGUCCCGUUCCUCCGCCGUGACCCCGGGCGCGGGCGGGCGCUGCGGGAGGCGCUGGGGGAGCACGGAGGGCUCGGGAAGCUGCUGGGGCGGCCGGGACAGCUUCAAGGGCCCCCUGAAGUGGCUCCUGUUCCACCGGCCUGUGCCCCCUGAUCCAGGACCGCUCCACUCAGUCCUGUCCAGGGAUGCGGCUACACGCAGAGGACCCCGAGCGAUCCCGGUUCUGAUCCUGGUGCCAAUCUCGGUCUCAGCUUCACUCCCGGCCCAUUUGGGUGAUUUUAGGACAAACUGGGCAUGUUUGGGGUGGGUUUCAGAUCCUUUGGAGUGACUUCAAGUCUUUUAGUGUGGAUUCUGGGUCCCUUUGGCUGACUUUAGGCCCUUGUGGGUGAAUCUUAAUCCUGCAUGGCUGAUUUUAGGUCGCUUGUUUUGGUGGUUUUGGGCCCAUUUGGUUA